GAGAAUUCAGGAUGUUACACAAUCUUCGUCCAACCACUUAGUGUGAACAACUCCCUGCAACUGUUUCUGAAUGUUUCUUAAAUGGCUUGUAUUGGGCGUCUAAUGCUGAAUUUGCUCAAUGCCCCAGUGUAUUUGAAUCCUGGAUUAGAGUAAUAUGGGCCAAAAGUGAAAAAGAGAUUGAUGACAACUUAAAACUGAAAAUGGAAAUCUCUUCGAAGCAACAGAAGAGGAAACUGCAAGACUGCGAGGAUAUCACUCCAGGAAUUACUUUGGGUAUUUUUCUUUAAUCAACCCAUUCACACAUACUGUGACAAGUCUGGAGCCAAUGGGAUUUGAACAUGAACCUUCUGGCCUAGAAGGAAGGAGACCAUUGCUGUGCCACAAAAGCCAAUAAGGAUAUUAGUUACUGGAGCAGCUGGCACAAAAAGUUAAGCAAAAUAGCAGGCUACGUAACCCAGACAAAGAAGAUGAUGCCAUAAUUUCAUAGACUUCAACCUGGAGAAAUCCUUGAGGAAAACUACAUCUGGAAACACAGUCUGCUGGAUGUCUGUGGCAGUAAACCUGUCAGAAAUGUCUUGUGCCACCUGGAGGCAGAAUUGCCAAAUCUUUCAUCCUAAGGACUGCAGACCAAAAGUGCAAAAAGUUCAAUGACUUUACCAGUAUUGGCAAGUUAACAUAAUGACCACUGUUUUCCCUGAGCAACAGGCUACUCCUACUUCUAAUAGGAACAGCUGUCUAAGUAAACACUAAAACAUUUUGAUUAAAGGGUCUUAUGAAUUGGAAACUUGCACUAUAUUCC